rnacentral:lncRNA from 1 species
UUCCAAGCUCCAUUUGUGAUUUCCAUUUGCAUCCACCUUUCCAUUCGUAGCCCAUCCUUCUUUCCAAUCCCAAAAGGGGAAAAGACCUCCAUCGAUGAAGGAGAUGAUCCAAGGAGGAGUGGGAAAGCUUCCCAACACCCAUGACAAUCGCCAAAAGGAUCUCACAAGCACCCAAAGUGUUUAUCUAUCAUGAAAAAUGAGGAACUAAUC